ACUGCAGAACUUGCUGAGAAACAACUCAGACAAGGUCUUGAUCCAGCACAGCCAGACAACAAGAGCUGCUGUGAAAGCACAUGGCCUCCUUUUGUACGAACAUUCAUCUGCAGUUUCUGGCUACAAGUACAGCUGCUGUAAUAUAGGAGGACCGCAUGCUGUGGUAAAACCAGCAAUUUGCUCCCCGCAUCAAAACAAAAGUGCCUUUUUCUACGACCCUCGAACCAAUCACUUCAAACGCACCUUUUUUUUUAAUGCACUAUGACUUUAUGGACUUUGUCAAACAAAUAUCCAUUUUGCACCAAUCGUGCUGUUUUAUCACAGGCUGCUAAGUUCAAUAAUAUCAGCAUGGUCUAUUUUUUGUACGAACACAUUUAGCAUUUUUUGUGUAAAUGUUCAGAGCAUUAUUGCAAUAAAUAAAUACUUAUCAACA